AAAAGGUCUUUAUUGAAGGUUGUAAUGUGGGCUCUUUGGUAAGGUAGGAUAUGUUUGGCUAAGUGACUCAAAGAUGCAAAUCAAAGUAACAUCAUCACCAACCUUAUAGCAUUCUUGCUCAAUUCUAUCCUCCACCUUUCAUAAAACCAAAUUUUCAAUAUAUAAUUCACCACAACACAACAAUUAUCUCUCAUGACAAUAUGACCUUCUAUGUAUCCUAUGUAUCCAUUUUUUUUUCAAUUUUUUUUCUACUCUUUUCUUUUUCUUUUCUUUUCUUCUUCUUUUCUUUUUUUUUUUUUUAGACUUGUAGGGUACUAGGAUUUUUCCAAUCAAAGACAAAGUUCAUAAAUCAUGAUCACACACCUCCACAAACCAACAUUCCCAUAGCAACAAACUCCAAGUUCCCACCCACGGCUAAACCAAAUAAAAUGGAUAAUAAAAGCUCAAAGGGGCGAAACUAGGAUCAUAUAGAGUAAAAGGACAAGUAUGGGAUAUAUGGGCUAGCAAAGAUGGCCUUCUAUCAUCUCUCAGUUAUUAAGCACACUAUGUGACCUCGAGGGAGAAACCAAGACAAGUUCU
rnacentral:lncRNA from 1 species